GUUGAACGCUGGCGGCAUGCCUUACACAUGCAAGUCGAACGGCAGCACGGGUGCUUGCACCUGGUGGCGAGUGGCGAACGGGUGAGUAAUACAUCGGAACAUGUCCUGUAGUGGGGGAUAGCCCGGCGAAAGCCGGGUUAAUACCGCAUACGAUCUACGGAUGAAAGCGGGGGACCUUCGGGCCUCGCGCUAUAGGGUUGGCCGAUGGCUGAUUAGCUAGUUGGUGGGGUAAAGGCCUACCAAGGCGACGAUCAGUAGCUGGUCUGAGAGGACGACCAGCCACACUGGGACUGAGACACGGCCCAGACUCCUACGGGAGGCAGCAGUGGGGAAUUUUGGACAAUGGGCGAAAGCCUGAUCCAGCAAUGCGGCGUGUGUGAAGAAGGCCUUCGGGUUGUAAAGCACUUUUGUCCGGAAAGAAAUCCUUGGCCCUAAGACGGUCGGGGGAUGACGGUACCGGAAGAAUAAGCACCGGCUAACUACGUG
rnacentral:rRNA from 1 species